rnacentral:rRNA from 1 species
AUUGAACGCUGGCGGCAGGCCUAACACAUGCAAGUCGAGCGGAUGAAGGGAGCUUGCUCCUGGAUUCGGCGGCGGACGGGUGAGUAAUGCCUAGGAAUCUGCCUGGUAGUGGGGGAUAACGUCCGGAAACGGGCGCUAAUACCGCAUACGUCCUGAGGGAGAAAGUGGGGGAUCUUCGGACCUCACGCUAUCAGAUGAGCCUAGGUCGGAUUAGCUAGUUGGUGGGGUAAAGGCCUACCAAGGCGACGAUCCGUAACUGGUCUGAGAGGAUGAUCAGUCACACUGGAACUGAGACACGGUCCAGACUCCUACGGGAGGCAGCAGUGGGGAAUAUUGGACAAUGGGCGAAAGCCUGAUCCAGCCAUGCCGCGUGUGUGAAGAAGGUCUUCGGAUUGUAAAGCACUUUAAGUUGGGAGGAAGGGCAGUAAGUUAAUACCUUGCUGUUUUGACGUUACCAACAGAGUAAGCACCGGCUAACUUCGUG